AUUUGAUUAAAAGCGCCUGGACUGCAUGCUGAUGCAGUUGACGAGGAGGAGGUUUAUCGAAGAUCGGCGGAUACCUCCCGGUUGACGUCACGACCGAGAAGCGAUUGCACAAAGAAGCAAGGUGACUUGUUUGACAAAGGCAAUCGUAUGACGAGAC
rnacentral:ncRNA from 1 species